AGCUCAAAUUUGAAAGCUAGCCUGCGGGUUGGCAUUGUAAUUUGUAGAGGAUGCUUUGGGUAAAACGCCAGUCUAAGUUCCUUGGAACAGGACGUCAUAGAGGGUGAGAAUCCCGUAUGUGACUGGAAAUGUUAACCUAUGUAAAGCUCCUUCGACGAGUCGAGUUGUUUGGGAAUGCAGCUCUAAAUGGGAGGUAAAUUUCUUCUAAAGCUAAAUAUUGGCGAGAGACCGAUAGCGCACAAGUAGAGUGAUCGAAAGAUGAAAAGCACUUUGGAAAGAGAGUUAAAAAGCACGUGAAAUUGUUGAAAGGGAAGCGCUUGCAAUCAGACUUGUUUAAACUGUUCGGCCGGUCUUCUGACCGGUUUACUCAGUUUGGACAGGCCAGCAUCAGUUUCGGCGGCCGGAUAAAGGCAUUGGGAAUGUGGCCUUCACUUCGGUGGAGGUGUUAUAGCCCAGUGUGUAAUACGGCCAGCCGGGACUGAGGUCCGCGCUUCGGCUAGGAUGCUGGCGUAAUGGUUGUAAGCGACCCGU
rnacentral:rRNA from 1 species